ensembl:snRNA U6 U6 spliceosomal RNA
GUGCUUGCUUUGGCAGCAUAUAUACUAAAAUCGGAAUAAUACAGAGAAGAUUAGCACGACUCAGUGGGAUGACAAAAAUUUCCCCCUUUUU